GGAGGGUGCAAGCGUUAUUCGGAUUUACUGGGCGUAAAGGGCGCGUAGGCGGCUUGAUAAGUCAGUCGUGAAAGCCCGGGGCUCAACCCCGGAAGUGCGAUUGAAACUAUCAGGCUUGAGUAUGGUAGAGGGAAGUGGAAUUCCAGGUGUAGCGGUGAAAUGCGUAGAUAUCUGGAGGAACACCGGUGGCGAAGGCGACUUCCUGGACCAAUACUGACGCUGAUGCGCGAAGGUGUGGGUAGCAAACAGGAUUAGAUACCCUGGUAGUCCACACAGUAAACGGUGAUCACUAGGUGUUGCGGGUAUUGACCCCUGCAGUGCCAGAGCUAACGCAUUAAGUGAUCCGCCUGGGGAGUACGGUCGCAAGAUUA
rnacentral:rRNA from 1 species